CCACUUCUCAGUUCCUAUGCUUCCUGGCUGAUGUUUUGGUCACUUUUGAAUGCUGGCGGUGAUUUCACUCUAGUGGUAGCAUGAGACGGAGUCUACAACCCACACAAGUGGCUCAGGUAGUGCAGCUCAUCCAGGAUGGCACAUCAAUGCGAGCUGUGGAAAGAAGGUUUGCUAUGUCUGUCAGCGUAGUGUCCAGAGCAUGGAGGCGCUACC